AUGAACGCUAGCGGCAGGCUUAACACAUGCAAGGUCGAGGGGCAACACGGGUAGCAAUACCGUGGUGGCGACCGGCGCAAGGGUGCGUAACGCGUGAGCAACAUGCCCUAUACAGGGGGAUAAGUCCAGGGAAACUUGGUCUAAUAUCCCAUAGUAUUUAGAGGUGGCAUCACCACUAAAUUAAAGCUUCGGUGGUAUAGGAUUGGCUCGCGUGACAUUAGCUGGAUGGUGGGGUAACGGCUCACCAUGGCGAUGAUGUCUAGGGGUUCUGAGAGGAAGACCCCCCACACUGGGACUGAGACACGGCCCAGACUCCUACGGGAGGCAGCAGUGAGGAAUAUUGGACAAUGGAUGGAAAUCUGAUCCAGCCAUGCCGCGUGCAGGAAGACGGCCCUAUGGGUUGUAAACUGCUUUUAUAUGGGAGCAAUAAGGUUUACGCGUAGACCGAUGAGAGUACCAUAUGAAUAAGCAUCGGCUAACUCCGUG
rnacentral:rRNA from 1 species